rnacentral:rRNA from 1 species
GAGGAAAAGAAACCAACCGGGAUUGCCUUAGUAACGGCGAGUGAAGCGGCAAAAGCUCAAAUUUGAAAUCUGGUACCUUCGGUGCCCGAGUUGUAAUUUGGAGAGGGCAACUUUGGGGCCGUUCCUUGUCUAUGUUCCUUGGAACAGGACGUCAUAGAGGGUGAGAAUCCCGUGUGGCGAGGAGUGCGGUUCUUUGUAAAGUGCCUUCGAAGAGUCGAGUUGUUUGGGAAUGCAGCUCUAAGUGGGUGGUAAAUUCCAUCUAAAGCUAAAUAUUGGCGAGAGACCGAUAGCGAACAAGUACAGUGAUGGAAAGAUGAAAAGAACUUUGAAAAGAGAGUGAAAAAGUACGUGAAAUUGUUGAAAGGGAAGGGCAUUUGAUCAGACAUGGUGUUUUGUGCCCUCUGCUCCUUGUGGGUAGGGGAAUCUCGCAUUUCACUGGGCCAGCAUCAGUUUUGGUGGCAGGAUAAAUCCAUAGGAAUGUAGCUUGCCUCGGUAAGUAUUAUAGCCUGUGGGAAUACUGCCAGCUGGGACUGAGGACUGCGA